AGAGUUUGAUCCUGGCUCAGGAUGAACGCUAGCGGCAGGCUUAAUACAUGCAAGUCGAGGGGCAGCAUGUCCCGAGUAAUCGGGAUGAUGGCGACCGGCAAACGGGUGCGGAACACGUACACAACCUUCCUUUAAGCGGGGAAUAGCCCAGAGAAAUUUGGAUUAAUACCCCAUAGUAUAUCAAUUAGGCAUCUUUUUGA
rnacentral:rRNA from 1 species